GGGCUUGUGGAGUAGUCUGGAUAUCUCACUUGAGAAAACCAGGAGAACGUUGGUUCGAAGCCAACCAAGCCCA
rnacentral:tRNA from 1 species